CGCGUAGGCGGAUCGUUAAGUCAGAGGUGAAAUCCCAGGGCUCAACCCUGGAACUGCCCUUGAUACUGGCGAUCUUGAGUAUGAGAGAGGUAUGUGGAACUCCGAGUGUAGAGGUGAAAUUCGUAGAUAUUCGGAAGAACACCAGUGGCGAAGGCGACAUACUGGCUCAUUACUGACGCUGAGGCGCGAAGCUGGGAGCAAACA
rnacentral:rRNA from 1 species